GACGAACGCUGGCGGCGUGCUUAACACAUGCAAGUCGAACGGAAAGGCCCUGCUUUUGUGGGGUGCUCGAGUGGCGAACGGGUGAGUAGCACGUGAGUAACCUGCCCUUGACUUUGGGAUAACUUCAGGGAACUGGGGCUAAUACCGGAUAGGAGCUCCUGCUGCAUGGUGGGGGUUGGAAAGUUUCGGCGGUUGGGGAUGGACUCGCGGCUUAUCAGCUUGUUGGUGGGGUAGUGGCUUACCAAGGCUUUGACGGGUAGCCGGCCUGAGAGGGUGACCGGCCACAUUGGGACUGAGAUACGGCCCAGACUCCUACGGGAGGCAGCAGUGGGGAAUAUUGCACAAUGGGCGGAAGCCUGAUGCAGCAACGCCGCGUGCGGGAUGACGGCCUUCGGGUUGUAAACCGCUUUCGCCUGUGACGAAGCGUGAGUGACGGUAAUGGGUAAAGAAGCACCGGCUAACUACGUG
rnacentral:rRNA from 1 species